rnacentral:rRNA from 1 species
CCAAUAGCGUAUAUUAAAGUUGUUGCAGUUAAAAAGCUCGUAGUUGAAUUUCGGGAUCAGUAGGUUGGUCAUGCCUCUGGUAUGUACUGGUCUCACUGGUUCCUCCUUCCUGAUGAACCGUAAUGCCAUUAAUUUGGUGUUGCGGGGAGACUGGACUGUUACUUUGAAAAAAUUAGAGUGUUUAAAGCAGGCUAACGCUUGAAUACAUUAGCAUGGAAUAAUGAAAUAGGACGUUCGAUCCUAUUUUGUUGGUUUCUAGGAUUGACGUAAUGAUUAAUAGGGAUAGUUGGGGGCAUUAGUAUUCAAUUGUCAGAGGUGAAAUUCUUGGAUUUAUUGAAGACUAACUACUGCGAAAGCAUUUGCCAAGGAUGUUUUCAUUAAUCAAGAACGAAAGUUAGGGGAUCGAAGACGAUCAGAUACCGUCGUAGUCUUAACCAUAAACUAUGCCGACUAGGGAUCGGAUGAUGUUAAUUUUAUAAUGACUCAUUCGGCGCCUUACG